CUACAAUGAGGUUUCAUACUCAUUUCUCUUUUCAGGAGGACAAUCAUCCCUUAAAGUAUAAGAAAUAGGAGCAGAAGAUAGUUCAAGAUCAAAAAAGGCCAACAUCACCAAAAAGGCUCUGAUAUUCUAAAGAAACCCUCCAGACUGCCUACCAGGACAUACAGGUACAAUGCAUGGCACAGACAAACAACAAAGCUCAAUAUGCGCUCAUGGCAUCCUGCUAAAUCCACGGCUUGCCUUGAACUCUCAAUCGUCACAAAAAUGUUAAAGCUGGAGAAUGGGACUCCAAACUAAGAGUUGCCUGCUUACGUCCCUCUCCUUAAUGUGCAUCCUGCCAUAAAUUGAUCUGUCCUGGAGACCAUUACAUUCCACUGAGAAUCCUUCAUGAGCCACAAGCAGAACUGUCU